rnacentral:misc_RNA from 1 species
GUGCUUCUACUUGGUGGGAAUGGCUACAAUCUAAAAGGAAGCGAGAAAGGAAAGGGCCAGUCCGUAUAUGGUUUAUAAUGAAGUAUUUGUUGAAACAAUAAUUUUUUUCUUUAAAUUAUGAGCAGAUUUUAUUCCAACAAAAGCUUUGCAAAGAGAAGGUCCAACCAAAGCCUUUCUUGAUUGUGAAACAAGAAAGUGAAGAACAAAAGGAGUUUGAAGAUCAACAAUUCAACUUGAAGUAGAUGAGCCUAAAUUUAAAGAAUUGGAACCGAAAACUUUAUUUAAAUUUCCUUUUGCUAUGGUUGAAGAUGAAGACCUUGAAGAAUGUGUUUUAGGGAACAACUAAGAUAAUGCCAUGAAAAUUUCAAUGGUACUCGAGGAAAAACAAUCCAUGGAUGCAGUAGUAGAGAUUGAAGAAACUCAGAUCAUGAAGUUGCUGAAAGUUGAAGAUUUAUAUAACUCUUUAAUUCCAAUGGUUUUUGUUGAUUCUAUUUGUCCAAGUAUUUUCAUAAAUACAAAGAAAAACAUGAAGAUCCUCAAUUCCACUUUGUUCAUGUCAAUCUUAUUGAUUCCAUCCAAGAAAGUUAUAUGGUGCAUAUUUCCAAAGAAGAUUCUCAUUCUCUUCCAUUUCAAAAUUCGAAGAAAGAUUUAUUUCUAGUGGGGGAGAAUGGUGCUAGAGUUGUUAUGGUUGUGUUUUUGGAUCCUUGCAAGUUACUUUAACUCGAGGACAAGUUUUUCCUUAAGUAGGGGAGUAUGAUGCAGAGCAUUUUUGGGUGAAGAAGCAAGUCAAACAACAAUGAAAGCAUGUCGGUGAGAAAGGGGGCAAAAGUAGCAAUUUUUAGCAAGUUUGGGCAAAGUUGAUUUUUGGGACAGCAAAUCCCACACCCAAGUGUGAGAUUUGCCACACCCUAUGAGAUUCUCUGGACAAAAUGCAGCAAUGUUUUUUUAAGUUAAUUUUCAUCUCCAACAGUCCUAAUUCACCUAUGACAUCUUAUGAAAACUUUCAGCAGCUGUAGAGAUCAGAUGAAAAUUAAUUAGGAAGUCUCCUUAAUGCAGUAUGGGAAGAUAGAAUUUAAGAAUUAUUCUCAUUGUAAAAUUAGAAAAUUUAAGAGUUUUAUUCUUUGAGAAUUUUAUUCUUAUUAGGUCUAU